GUGCUGACUUGGGAACACGUAUACUAAAAUUGGGAUGAUACAUACUAGAUUAUAAUGAUCCCUGCACAAGGAUAACAUGAGCAUUUAUGAGGAAUUCCAUAGUUUA